GACAGAGGGUGCAAACGUUGUUCGGAAUUACUGGGCGUAAAGCGAGUGUAGGCGGUCCGAUAAGUCGGGUGUGAAAGCCCUGGGCUCAACCCAGGAAGUGCACUCGAUACUGUCGGGCUAGAGUAUCGGAGAGGUUGGUGGAAUUCUCGGUGUAGAGGUGAAAUUCGUAGAUAUCGAGAGGAACACCGGUGGCGAAGGCGGCCAACUGGACGAAUACUGACGCUGAGACUCGAAAGCGUGGGGAGCAAACAGG
rnacentral:rRNA from 1 species